rnacentral:rRNA from 1 species
UACGGAGGGUGCAAGCGUUAUCCGGAUUCACUGGGUUUAAAGGGUGCGUAGGCGGAUAGGUAAGUCCGUGGUGAAAUCCUGCAGCUUAACUGCAGAACUGCCAUGGAUACUAUCUAUCUUGAAUGUCGUGGAGGUUAGCGGAAUAUGUCAUGUAGCGGUGAAAUGCUUAGAUAUGACAUAGAACACCCCAUUGCGAAGGCAGCUAACUACGCGAUAAUUGACGCUGAUGCACGAAAGCGUGGGGAUCAAACAGG